GCGACUUCGGGAAAAGGCGGGUGCUGACGUCCGCGGGGAGGAGGUGCUUAGCGUCCGUCGCCUAGCAGUUGGUUGCCGGGAUGUUUUUUUCCCUUAAAUAUUCACAGGCGACAUAAGCUUAAGGUGGCGUUUUCAUGCGUAAUGACGAAAACCUUAUUGGACACAAAGCGUUCCUUUAUUAGCAAAAUAUAGAUCUUUCUGAUGAAAGAACAGGCCCGCGAUACCAGCCCCUGAGGUAAGCCGGAAGAGGGGCCGCCAGCGUACGUGGUCAUGGAGCGAUCCUUCCAGCCACACACAGUUCGGGUGGCUUAGAGACCUGAACGCGUACAGCAAAUCCAGAACUUGUAGGAAAUAACGUUCUAGAAUAUCUUCAGGACUUAUGGGUGGGAAUAUAUGAUACAAAAACAACUAACUUGAAGCAAUUGAUUUGACUGGGUUACGACAAAAAUAAUCUGACCUUCAAAAUACAUAACUCCAUGAUGAACCCAAAAUGCCAAGUAUAUGACUGAACUUACAAGUGAUACCAUCUUACGACUGAAGAGUGGGAAAUAAAAUACAUCAUAAGAGAGAAGCCACACAGUAGAAAUUUGUUACACAUAUGAUUGACAAAGGCAAUUAUCCAGAAUAUAUAGGAUCUAAACAGACAACCCAAUCGAAAAAUGGAUAAAAUUACUGAACAGGUGCUUUGGCAAUGACAAAAUCCAGAUAGUCAACAAACAUGUAAGGUGCGCAAGCGCAUUACGAAUCGGGGAAAUGCAUUAAAACCACGAUUAGUUUCAAUUGAUUGGUUUUUAAACCACACUCACUAGAUUGGCAAAAAUUAAGAACUCUGGCCGGGCGUGGUGGUGGCUCACGCCUGUAAUCCCAGCAUUUUGGGAAGCCGAGGCAGGCAGAUUAUUUGACCUCCUGACUCCCGACUUGAGGUCAGGAGUUUGAGACAAGCCUGGCCAACACAAUGAGACCCCGUCUCCACUAAAAAUAAAAAAAAAAAAAAUUAGCCAAGAGUGGUGGCAGGCGCCUGUGAUCCCAGCUACUGGGAAGGCAGAGGCAGGAGAAUUGCUUGAAUCCGGGAGGCGGAGGUUACAGGUUACAGUGAGUGGAGAUCGUGCCACUGCAGUCCAGCAACCUAGAUGACAGAGUGAGACUCCGUCUCAAAAAAAAAAAAAAAAAAAAAUACGGCUGGUCAUGGUGGCCCACCCCAGUAAUCCCAGCACUUUGGGAGGUCAAGACGGGUGGAUCACUUGAGUCAAGAGUUCGAGACCAGCCUAACCAACAUGGUGAAGCCCCGUCUCUACUAAAAAUACAAAAUUAGCCACUCGUGGUGUCACAAGCCUGUAAUCCCAGCUACUUGGGAGGCUGAGGCAGGAGAAUCACUUGAACCCGAAGGCAGAGCCUGCAGUGAGCCAAGAUCACGCCACUGUACUCCAGUCUGGGCAACAAGGGCAAAACUCCAAAACUCCGUCUUAAAACAAACAAAAAAUCUAGGAACUCUGACAGUAGCAGGUGU
rnacentral:lncRNA from 10 species